rnacentral:lncRNA from 1 species
AAGCCGUAGGGGAUUGUUCUCCAGUCUUGACUUUGAGAACUUGGUAGAGCUCCUGAAGGCUCACCUGAUAAGAGAUGUAUGUCACAAUCUGCUCACCCUGGCAUUUCUCUAAAUAGAAGGUUCAUCUGUCUGAAUAUAGAUAUCAAGAAGUGGCAGAGUAUCAGAGGAGAAAGAUAUCAAGAAAUAGAAUAUUCAAGCUGUUUCAACUUCUACCCGUUCCACAUUUCCGAAGCUACUUCCACAUUUCAGGUAGCAAGAAACAGGCCUCUGAAAUUUAAGAACCACAAAACAAUAAAAGAAGUAAACUCUUUUGUUGAAAAGCUCCAAUUCCCCUGUAAACGUCUCAUUCAGAGUCUAAUUGUAACCCAAUUAAGAAAAUUAAGAUGAGUAGAAACAGCUGGAACAGAAGGCACUUGGGGUGAAGUGUACCCUCUGCAGUCAUUAUUUGAUGGAGAUCAUUACCCAACUCUACACACAGCACAUGAUAUUUAAUAUGAUUGGACUAAUUUAUAUCUGAAAAGAAUAAAAGUAUGUUAUGUAAAUAAAUCGAGUGACCUAUUAGCUCAAAUUCUUAAACACUCAGUUAUCCAACGUUGCAAGUACAGUCAUGUGAUAAACCUUCAAAAUGCGGUUAGUCCUCUUUCUGUAUCUGUCCACAGCAUUACCUUUUUUCCUUUUGGUCAUGGCAAUAUAUUCAUCUCAUGAGUGUUACAGCCAGAGAUGCACCAGUAACAACAUUGUGAUGUCCCAUGUUUAAUUUUAUGUGUGGUGAGUGUUAAAGGGAGAAUAAAGCCUUAAUUUGAAUUUAAAACUGGUAAUUAC